AACAACAAAGCAUAACAAAACAGAAUAAGAGCCUCACUCAUGCUGCCCCAACGCUGGCAGUCGUCAUCCAGGAUCUGCUUUCCCACAAGGGCCCUCGUGUAGCAUCUGUGACCACACGUUUUAUCACCCAGCUCUGUGGAGGCUUUGGUUGAAGUUCCACUAGUAAAUUGUCAACCUUUCUGCCUCAGAUCAGCAAGCCUUCCCAACACAAGACUUCGCAGAUGACCCUUUCAACAGAUACGAGGACAAUUCAACAGAGGAGUGGAACCUGUGGACAUGGAAGACACUGAAAAUAUACUCCAUCUUCAGAACAGCUGAGACACUAUACAAUUACUAUCUUCACUUUACAGAUGACAGUUUGGAUGUGAACUUGGCAACAUUCCUAGGAAUUCAUAGCUGGUGACAAAAAAAAAAAUAUAGUCAAGGCCAAACAGUGCAUAUAUUUUUCUGUUGUCAUUUGCCUGCCUUUUUAUUUUUCUAAUUAUUUUUUUAUUCUUCUUUCACACACUACAUCUCAACCACAGUUUCUCCUCCUUCCAUCCUUUCCAGGUGCCCCACAUGCCUCUCCUCUCCCCUAGAUCCACUCCUCCAUUUCCCUUCAGAAAACAGAAGGCCUUCCAGGGAUAUGAACCAAACAUGGGAUUGAAAGAUCCUGGCAGAAUGUAAAAGGACAGAAGCCCUGAAAUUGGCAAGAUAGACGUCAGUGUUAGCAGAACUAGCUUCACUGAUUUAGAAAAAUAGAAGUGCACAAUGCUCUGGCCACUCCUUGAACCUGUGUGUCUGCCAAUGUUCUGACCAGGUGUGUGCCCAUUGCUGCACCUUCAUUAGACUCUUUCCUUGUACCCCUCCCAUACCCAUUUCUUGAGAAUAGACAUUGUUUAGAUCUGGAAAUCCCCUAAUCUCCCCCUUCUCCUUUCCCCCCUGAGGGCCUAUAAAAACUGGGAACUCUUUUCCCUCGAGGUCGACUCCUCUACCCCUGCGUGGGAUAUGAGUCGUCCCCAGAGCUCUGGCUUUCCCCGAAUAAAGCCUCAUGUGGUUUGCAACAA
rnacentral:lncRNA from 1 species